rnacentral:lncRNA from 1 species
UUUAGUCUCAUAAUUUUAUGACCACAUCUCAGAAGAUAGCAAAAAUUGUUGCAAUUUUGCUUUGUUUUUUAUUUCCUUCUUUUGCCAUGGGUCUACUUCAUUUUGGCACUGGUCUUCUCAUUGCCAUUAGUUUGAUAUUAGCUUAAAAAACAAAGAGAUGGUUGAACUAUCCACAUAUAGGUAAUUUCUUCUUUGUGGUUAUGGUAAAUGGUUGUAUUGGACA